rnacentral:rRNA from 1 species
GACGAACGCUGGCGGCGUGCUUAACACAUGCAAGUCGAACGGAACGGCCCUGCUUUUGUGGGGUGCUCGAGUGGAGAACGGGUGAGUAACCCGUGAGUAACCUGCCAUUGACUUUGGGAUAACUUAAUGAAACUGGGGCUCAUACCGGAUAGGAGCUACUGCUGCAAGGGGGGGGUUGGAAAGUUUCGGCGGUUGGGGAUGGACUCGCGGCUUAUCAGCUUGUUGGUGGGGUAGUGGCUUACCAAGGCUUUGACAGGUAGCCGGGCUGAGAGGGCAGCAGGCCACAUUGGGACGGAGAUGCGGCACAGACUCCUACGGUAGGCAGCAGUGGAGAAGAGUGCAUAGUGGACGGAAGCCUGAUGCAACAACGCCGCGUGGGGGAUGACGGCCUUCGGGUUGGAAACCGCUUUCGCCUGUGACGAAGCGUGAGUGACGGUAAUGGGUAAAGAAGCACCGGCUAACUACGUG